AUUGAACGCUGGCGGCAGGCCUAACACAUGCAAGUCGAGCGGAUGAAGGGGGCUUGCUCCUGGAUUCAGCGGCGGACGGGUGAGUAAUUCCUAGGAAUCUGCCUUGUAGUGGGGGAUAACGUCCGGAAACGGGCGCUAAUACCGCAUACGUCCUGAGGGAGAAAGUGGGGGAUCUUCGGACCUCACGCUAUCAGAUGAGCCUAGGUCGGAUUAGCUAGGUGGUUGGGUAAAUGCCUACCAAGGCGACGAUCCGUAACUGGUCUGAGAGGAUGAUCAGUCACACUGGAACUGAGACACGGUCCAGACUCCUACGGGAGGCAGCAGUGGGGAAUAUUGGACAAUGGGCGAAAGCCUGAUCCAGCAAUGCCGCGUGUGUGAAGAAGGUCUUCGGAUUGUAAAGCACUUUAAGUUGGGAGGAAGGGCAGUAAGUUAAUACAUUGCUGUUUUGACGGUACCAAAAGAAUAGGCACCGGCUAACUUCGUG
rnacentral:rRNA from 1 species